GUGUGGGUAGGGGAGAAAUUCCAAUCGAACCCGGAGAUAGCUGGUUCUCCUCGAAAUAGCUUUAGGGCUAGCCUCGUUUUAGUCUUAUGGAGGUAGAGCACUGAAUUUCCGCGGGGGCGUCAAAGCUUACCAAAGAAUAUCAAACUCCGAAUGCCAUGUAGAUGAUGAACGGGAGUCAGACUGCACGAGAUAAGUUGGGCAGUCAAAAGGGAAAGAGCCCAGACCGCCAGCUAAGGUCCCAAAGUGUGUGUUAAGUGGAAAAGGAUGUGGGAUCUCCAAGACAACUAGGAUGUUGGCUCAGAAGCAGCCACACAUUCAAAGAGUGCGUAACAGCUCACUAGUCGAGAGGUCCUGCGCCGAAAAUGUCCGGGGCUGAAACACAACACCGAAGCUGCGGAAUUGCGAAUGCAAUUGGUAGAGGAGCAUUCUUAAUACCGACGAAGCUGUACCGGAAGGAGCAGUGGAGGGAUAAGAAGAGAGAAUGCCGGAAUGAGUAGCGAGAGAGAGGUGGGAAUCCUCUCGGCCGAAUAUCCAAGGUUUCCAGAGUAAAGCUGAUCUGCUCUGGGUAAGUCGGGGCCUAAGGCGAGGUCAAGAGACGUAGCCGAUGGACAACAGGUUUAGAUUCCUGUACCGCAUAUAAACAGAACUGUGGGGACGCAUGGGGAGAGCAUGGGCCGGGAAUGGAAAUACCGGUGCAAGCGAAGGAGGUGUGCAGCCGGCAAAUCCGCUGCAUGAGCCGAAAGCGUGACGCGGAGCGAAAUGAAAGUAGCGAAGCAUGUGAGCCCUGUGCCGAGAAAAGCCGCUAUAGCUUUAUAUGUGCCCGUACCGUAAACCGACACAGGUGGAUGAGGAGAGAAUCCUAAGGCCGGCGGAAGAAGUAUUGUUAAGGAACUCGGCAAAAUGACCCCGUAACUUCGGGAGAAGGGGUGCCCACGGGAGUGGGCCGCAGAGAAUAGGCUCAAGCAACUGUUUAGCAAAAACACAGGUCUAUGCGAAACCGAAAGGUGAAGUAUAUGGGCUGACGCCUGCCCGGUGCUGGAAGGUUAAGAGGAGAGGUUAGCGCAAGCGAAGCUUUGAAUUUAAGCCCCAGUAAACGGCGGCCGUAACUAUAACGGUCCUAAGGUAGCGAAAUUCCUUGUCGGGUAAGUUCCGACCCGCACGAAAGGCGUAAUGAUUUGAGCACUGUCUCGACAAUGCAUCCGGUGAAAUUGAAGUACCAGUGAAGAUGCUGGUUACCUGCGCCAGGACGGAAAGACCCCAUGGAGCUUUACUCCAGCUUGAUACUGGGAUU
rnacentral:rRNA from 1 species